rnacentral:lncRNA from 1 species
UCCUAUCAGUGCGAAUUUCGCCUGACCUGGUUCCGUUAUUUAGUAUUCUGUUGGAAUAACCUGUCUAUGCGAAGUACCGCAUGCAUGGUGAUUUCUUUUGUUAUUCCAUUCUUUAUUAUACUCAGUUGGUUAAAGUUUUGACUUCUAUACUCCAUGAAAUUAGUGGAAUAUCCUUGAUAUUUGCGCUUCAUCCAGUAUCUUUUCAUGNN